rnacentral:lncRNA from 1 species
UGGCCCUUACUUCCUCUCUCCCAUCCUCCUUAUGCUACCAUGAGAUAUCAACUGCUACAUCUCUAAUGAAAACUGCUUUUCCUAACUAUUCAUCCAUUUUACCUACUGAACUACCUUUUCAACAGUCAUCUAUCCAUGUUUACAUUAUAAACUAAGUAUCUACAAUUCAGCAAAUAACUACUUAUUCUACAUAGCCCCACUCCCAUCUGUGCAGCGUCCUCGCAAACAUAGAACCGAUACAUAACUAAAAAAAACUUCUCCAAAAUUUCUAUUUAUCUGAUACACCCAAUUGAUCAAUUACUACAUUAUCCGUUAUUGGUUCCACCGAUUCUGGCUCUAGUGGUACGUCUUCAUCCUCUUCUAAUAUUUCAAGUGACUCCUUUCUCAACCGGCCUGAAAGAUCUUCAUUGUAUUCUCCCAAUUCAUGGACCUGAGCUUCCAGUUUCAGGAUCUUGGCAUCGCGAAGUUCCAAUUGAUGUUGCUGCGGACUCAUCCCUUCUGGGACAUCUUCAAUCGACACUUGACAUUGGCUC